GGUGGUGUAGUGUAAUGGUAUCACGUGGUGUUGUGGUUUCUCCUUUCGAGGGUCUUCAUGAAGAUGAGUCUUUACAAGCUCCUUACAUCCCCGCUUCAAUCUGGGUUCGAUUCCCAGCACCGCCA
rnacentral:tRNA from 1 species